GUACCAGGAUGUGAUACAGUCUGACAGGAUGCUCUUGAUUGUGCAUCUGUAAAAGUUUGUGAGGGUUUUAGGUGACAAGCCAAAUUUCUUCAGCCUCCUGAAGAAACAACAUCUCCAAUAAACAUCCUUAUAAAUUCACUCACUGAGUCAGUGUAUAGGUCCAUGUCCAUUACAAGCAUUUCGCUACACUCGCAUUAACAUCUGCUAACCAUGCUAACCAUGUGUAUGUGACAAAUAAAAUUUUAUUUGAUUUUGAUUCUCUGAGGCUGACCGGACUGAAUAGGGACCGUUUGGGACACAUCCCUAAUGUAUUACUUUUCAUCUGGGCUCCUGGUCGUAGUGUACAACAGAGUGAAUAGGGACCGUUUGGGGACACCACAACGCUAAUGUAUUAUGUACGCUAAUGUACCGUGCUUUUACACCUGCAUUGUUUGCUGUUUGGGGUUUUAGGCUGGGUUUCUGUACAGCACUUUGAGAUAUCAGCUGAUGUACGAAGGGCUAUAUAAAUACAUUUGAUUUGAUUUGAAAUAAAUUUGAUUUACUUUUCAUCUGGGCCCCUGGUCGUAGUGUACAACAGAGUGAAUAGGGACCGUUUGGGACACGACCCUAAUGUAUGAUGGAGUACUCAUAACUCAAUACAUGUUAUUAUGGGAACUUGGUAGUGUGGGAUAUUGAGGCAGAAUUAUUAAACCCAGGGUACACACACUGAAAUCCCUGCAGAUUUUAGAAUCAAUAUUGCUGAGGUCCUCAAGGAGGCUUCUGGGUUACAAUAUCAGCAACACGUCACUAAUGGGAAUAACAGACCAUUGAAAGAGUUCAUUAGGUUGAAUAAGUUGAGAUGUUGCCUGCCCUACCAAGCGACAAGUUUAGCCUGGUUUGUGUGUGCAUUUGUGCGUACCUUUCUGCAUUGACUGUGUGCCUCCUACCCCCCCUGUACACUCCUCAUACAGCCCAGCCUGGCAGAUGGCUCCCCUGUCCUGCUUGCCAGGAAUAGCAUGUGAAUUAAAGGUUAUACCCACCAGGUUUGAAGUGCUGCCAACUCCGGCUCAGCUCCGGCUCAGCUCCAGCUCAGCUCCGGUCGGUGCUGCAGCCCCAGCAGCCUCGGCCCACCUGCCUGUCAGCCCCGAGACAUCUGGCUCCAUGAGCGUGGAAUGAGCAUUGUGCUGACUUCCUGGUAAAACAGAAGUAGAGCAAACUGUUCCACAGCGUGUUGAAGAAGGGAAACCUCCCUCCUCGUGGGGUUCCCCUGGAACCUGAAAAGCACCAGAAACAUGGUACAAAAGGGCCAUAUAGAACCCUAUCCGCCUGGUACGGCAACUGCUCCGCCCUCAACCGUAAGGCUCUCCAGAGGGUA